UACGAACUGCGCAAACGUUAUUCGGAAUCACUGGGCUUACAGGGUGCGUAGGCGGCCCACCAGGUCCGAUGUGAAAUCCCACAGCUCAACUGUGGAACUGCAUUGGAAACCGGCGGGCUUGAGUCAGCUAGAGGGACACGGAACUUCCGGUGGAGCGGUGAAAUGUGUUGAUAUCGGAAGGAACACCAGAGGCGAAAGCGGUGUCCUGGGGCUGGUCUGACGCUGAGGCACGAAAGCCAGGGUAGCGAACGGG
rnacentral:misc_RNA from 1 species